UACGUAGGGCGCAAGCGUUAUCCGGAAUUAUUGGGCGUAAAGAGCUCGUAGGCGGUUUGUCGCGUCUGCCGUGAAAGUCCGGGGCUCAACUCCGGAUCUGCGGUGGGUACGGGCAGACUAGAGUGAUGUAGGGGAGACUGGAAUUCCUGGUGUAGCGGUGAAAUGCGCAGAUAUCAGGAGGAACACCGGUGGCGAAGGCGGCUCUCUGGACCGUAACUGACGCUGAGGCGCGAAAGCGUGGGGAGCAAACAGG
rnacentral:rRNA from 1 species